rnacentral:rRNA from 1 species
ACGCACGCUGGCGGCGUGCUUCACACCUGCCAGUCGCACGGGAUUUAGUAAACGGAAGCCUCGGUGGAAGAUUACUAAUGAGAGUGGCGAACGGGUGAGUAACGCGUGAGCAACCUGCCUAUGACAGUGGGAUAGCCUCGGGAAACCGGGAUUAAUACCGCAUAAAAUCGUAGAAACACAUGUUUCAACGGUCAAAGAUUUAUCGGUCAUAGAUGGGCUCGCGUCUGAUUAGCUAGUUGGUGAGAUAACAGCCCACCAAGGCGACGAUCAGUAGCCGGUCUGAGAGGAUGAACGGCCACAUUGGAACUGAGACACGGUCCAAACUCCUACGGGAGGCAGCAGUGGGGAAUAUUGCACAAUGGGGGAAACCCUGAUGCAGCGACGCCGCGUGAACGAAGAAGGUAUUCGUAUCGUAAAGUUCUGUCCUAUGGGAAGAUAAUGACAGUACCAUAGAAGAAAGCUCCGGCUAAAUACGUG